GAUGAAGAACUUAGCGAAACGCGAUAAGUAAUGUGAAUUGCAGAAUCCAGUGAAUCAUCGAAUCUUUGAACGCACAUUGCGCCCGCCAGCAUUCUGGCGGGCAUGCCUGUUCGAGCGUCAUUUCAACCCUCGACCUCCCCUUGGGGAGGUCGGCGUUGGGGACCGGCAGCACACCGCCGGCCCUGAAAUGGAGUGGCGGCCCGUCCGCGGCGACCUCUGCGCAGUAAUACAGCUCGCACCGGGACCCCGACGCGGCCACGCCGUAAAACACCCAACUUCUGAACGUUGACCUCGAAUCAGGUAGGACUACCCGCUGAACUUAAGCAUAUCAAUAAGCGGAGGA
rnacentral:misc_RNA from 1 species